AAUGUUCCCAAUUGUACUUUUCUCAAAGAAGAACAACUGUUUUGUAAGUGUUCUCCCACUUGUGGUAUUCGCCACGGUAGAUGAUAUAUUCCAAGCAUUUACAGAGGUCAGUUAACCAUUUGCCUGUACGAAAUGUGCAGAGUACGUUAGAAGUGUAGGAGCUGUAGUUUAUUGUAGUAGUAGUAGUAGUAGUAGUGGUAGCAGUAGUAGUAGUGUUAUAGUAGUAGUAGAAGAAGUAGUAGUGGUAGUAGUAGUAGUGGUAGCAGUAGUAGCAGUGUUGUAGUAGUAGUAGAAGAAGUAGUAGUGGUAGUAGUGUUGUAGUUGUAGUAGUAGGCAUCCAUCAGUCUCAGGAGACUAUGGAGUGGCGCUCGGGUUGUCGGUCUGGAGUGGCCUCACCAGGGCACAAUGCCAAUGCAGGUUGAUAUGUUACUUGUUGAAGCUGAGAAGCUGUAUAGUAUAGUAAUAGUAAUAGUAGGAGUAACAAAAAUAGUAAUAGUAAUUACUGUCGAUACGACUGUCAGCCAAAGGUAAUUACCGUCGAUACGACUGUCAGCCAAAAGUAAUUACCGUCGAUACGACUGUCAGCCAAAGGUAAUUACCGUCGAUACGACUGUCAGCCACCGAGAAGAGUACCACAUUUCUUGGGGUACACACCCCUAAGAGUUUACCUUAAUCUUAAGAGGUAAGGUAAGAGUUUAAAGUAAGAGUUAACCUUAAUCUUACCUUAAAGUAUAACUUGCUGGCUGGUCAGUAAGUACCUUAUGGUGGCCAUAAUAACCCUCCCGUGGGUGAUAAGCCUUAACCCCCCCCCCCCCACCAAGCACCAAACCUAU